ACAUUUACCUGGCAGGAGAAAUACCGUGAUCAUUAAGAUAGUUUCCCCAGGUCAAAUCUUAUUCAUUGCACACUGGACAUGUUGAACCGUAUGAUUCCCCAAAUACUAGAAACUCAACUGCACAUUUUUUGGUAGUGGAGGAAUCUGUGUGUUCACUUUCCUUGC
ensembl:snRNA U1 U1 spliceosomal RNA